GCCUGGAUAGCUCAGCUGGAUAGCGCAUGGUGCUGUUAACACCAAGGUUGCAGGUUCAGUCCCUGAAUAGGACA